rnacentral:rRNA from 1 species
UUAAGCAUAUCAAUAAGCGGAGGAAAAGAAACCAACUGGGAUUGCCCUAGUAACGGCGAGUGAAGCGGCAAUAGCUCAAAUUUGAAAUCUGGCUCCUUUUAGGGGUCCGAGUUGUAAUUUGCAGAGGGUGCUUUGGCGUUGGCGGCGGUCUAAGUUCCUUGGAACAGGACAUCGCAGAGGGUGAGAAUCCCGUUUGUGGUCGCAUGCCUUCGCCGUGUAAAGCCCCUUCGACGAGUCGAGUUGUUUGGGAAUGCAGCUCUAAAUGGGAGGUAAAUUUCUUCUAAAGCUAAAUACUGGCCAGAGACCGAUAGCGCACAAGUAGAGUGAUCGAAAGAUGAAAAGCACUUUGGAAAGAGAGUCAAACAGCACGUGAAAUUGUUGAAAGGGAAGCGCUUGCAGCCAGACUUGCUCGUAGUUGCUCACCUAGGCUUCUGCCUGGGGCAUUCUUCUGCGGGCAGGCCAGCAUCAGUUUGGGCGGUCGGAUAAAGGUCUCUGUCAUGUAGCUUCCUUCGGGAAGAACUUAUAGGGGAGGCGAAAUGCGACCAGCCUGGACUGAGGUCCGCGCAUCUGCUAGGAUGCUGGCGUAAUGGCUGUAAGCGGCCCGUCUUGAAACACGGACCAAGGAGUCUAACAUCUAUGCGAGUGUUUGGGUGUCAAGCCCGAGCGCGUAAUGAAAGUGAACGGAGGUGGGAACCCUUUGGGUGCACCAUCGACCGAUCCUGAUGUCUUCGGAUGGAUUUGAGUAAGAGCAUAGCUGUUGGGACCCGAAAGAUGGUGAACUAUGCUUGAAUAGGGUGAAGCCAGAGGAAACUCUGGUGGAGGCUCGCAGCGGUUCUGACGUGCAAAUCGAUCGUCAAAUUUGGGCAUAGGGGCGAAAGACUAAUCGAACUAUCUAGUAGCUGGUUCCUGCCGAAGUUCCCCCUCAGGAAA